UUGGAACCAAUGGGGAGAGGCGGAGACAUUCUCCAGGAUGGCAAGAGGACACGAACCUCGGUAGAAACACCCUCCAUGCGGCGGGCGGAAAAGCGAGGCGGCAGUUUCGAGCAGGCGGCCUGUCUGGGGCGACAGGAGCAGGAGCCGCAACGGAAGAGGGUUUGCAGCAGCAGUGAAGAGGCCAAGGUUUCCGGGCGGGAACGAGAAUCGCCGGCCCGGCGGCACAAGUCGGCUGAAGGCGGAAGUGUGGACGAUUCGACAAAUAUAACAGAGCGUGUGGGGGAGCCAUGCGAAGCAGCGCCACCUAAAGGUUCACAGACGACUUGUGCCAGUCAGCCGGGCGCGCGAUCGACGGAGGAGGUGUCGGACUCGACUGCGGUCCCAUCGUCCGGGGCGCCGGCGAAACGUGGAGCUAACCAGACGCAGUCUGAUCAGGAGGCCCUGGUCAAGUCCGGUCAGAAGGAUCGGACAGAAGUGGAACGAGAACCCCUGGUCAAAGGCGCUUCGAUAUCAGGACAGGGUUCGGCGAUGCGUGUCAAGCCCCCUGCUGGACGACCCGUCGAUAGGAUGCAAAGCGACAGGCGUAGCUCUGUUCCUCUCCCGUCAUGCGGUCCUCCAUCACUUUUGCUUCGCGGGACGGAGCGUGUCACUGCUCAGGCACGGAGCGUGACAUCAGCACCAUGUCCUGCGUUUCCGGGAAAUGUUGGGCCUAAUGAGGCCCGAGCUACUGCAGGCACCACUACAGCCGCUGUUGAAGUUUCGAGUCAGACCAGACACGCUCCUGUGGUCUCCGGUCCGACCAGACCCGUCUCUGUGUCCACUGUUACGGUUGGAUCUGCUUCCUGUGGAUCUGGUCAGACCGAACUCGCUCCUAGCAGUUCGGGAGAGAUUGAGAAGAUCCCCGCUGACUUGGACUCAGCUAAGCCGUCCUGUGGGCACCUGAAACAGACGGGGGCCAUCUCUGAGAGCGCGAGGCAGACGCUGAGCUGCGCGGAAAACCGGGGUCUACUUGGGGCUGUUUCCAAUGACACGCCUGACCCGCUUCCAGCCUCUAAAGAGGUGGAGGGCAUUUCGAGUACGCGGCAGAAAACCACCAGUGCUCCUGCCAACCCGCCUCCGACAGUCGGCGAGCACCAGUCGGGGGCAUCAACGUCCGGGGGUCGGCCAACGGCGCUGUCGGUUGGCUCCACCCAGCUGACUCACGUAGUGAAGCUGCCCGACCCGGUGCUGCAUGGUGAUGCCGCCCUGGCGUGGGACUCGACGGAGGACCCGCGCGGCAUUGGCUUCUCGUCCGAAAUGCUGUACCAGCCGCCGGAGCGCGGCCCCCAGUCCCCUAACGUCAGCUACUGCGUGCUGUGUUGGGACGGUGGCGAGCUGCUGCUCUGUGACCACUGCGAGCGCGCCUUCCACCGUGAAUGCUACAUCGGUCCUGCGGACGACUCUGACAGCGGGCCGUGGCAGUGUCUGAUGUGCCGCGUUAUGCCGACCCCCAUGAGUCCGAUGGAGCGGCGCGUCGGGUGACCAGAUGAACGCGGAGGACAUGACGUUAGCCCGUCGUUUGCUGAUGGAGCUCUAUGCAGCCUACUAUCCGUCCAUGUACUUCAAAAACCUGGAGGCCAUGUCGCUGAAACGGAGCACUCGCAAUGCCAGCUUUUCUCGGGCUUGGCUGAAGCACAUUCAUCGUUUGGCGAGGCCAAAAGUCCGUGAUGGCUUCAGCAAGAAAAGCGCCUUUCUCGAGAGCCUUUUUGAUAUUUGCCAACCGAUUAGGGAAAAGGAGCUGGCCGACUUCGAUCAAAUCCCGCGGCCUUUGUGUCUGGACCAGAUCAAGGAACGGCUGCUCGCGCGAGACUUCUCCACGCUUAUGCGCUUCCUCCAUGCCCUGAAGAAGCUUGUCGACCAGCGUCAGUAUUUUAAGAAAGGCACCACCCCGGACAAGUAUUUGAAGCAGUUGGAUGAUAUGCUGGAGCAGUUCCUCCUGCAGCAUAUGCAUAGUUAUUGGCUUCACGUGGACGAUGUCCGAUCUUCCAAAUGACGGCACGCCUGAUGGGGGCGGCUGGUUCUUUGCGGCCACCAGCCAACUACCUGGUGAAUGGGUCG